GUUCACCAGUGGGUGGAGAACAACGCAUCUUUUUCUGCAUCGAGUUGGAGUUUGGUGAUUCAUGGAGUUGUUCCUAUGUGCUUGUGUGUAUAGUUGAUUGACAACAUAUGCCAAUUUUUGGUCAACUGAUGACUUGAGACAAUAAAGAUAUAUGAAAACGUUGAGAAGACUGAAGAUUCUUACAAUCACCAUAAUCUCUAAUAAUGAAGGCCUUAUCACUUAUAAAUUUGUGUAUAUGAAGUAGAAUGUUCCAACACUGAUGAUCCAAGGAUUUGUUGAUAGCAGUGUGAUAGAGCAGUCAAUUAACAUCAGGAAUAUGUUCAUCCACAGUAAUAUGCCCCAACUUUUAGACCACCCCCACUGGGUAGAAAGACCAUCAAGCCACCAAGUAGAUGAGGAAGAAGUUCUGGAUUCCACCUGAUAAUUGCUGCCUACAGUCCCUUUGGAUGUAACUAAAUUUCAAGUGACAAGUAGUUUUCAAGGAAGAAAUGUCUCAAAAAUGUGCUGCAGAUGCCAAGGGGUAGAACAGUUGUCAUUGAUGUAGUUGAUGAUCUCUCGAGCACCAGAAUGGAUCCAUAAAUGUUGCAGACUUUCAGUUCUGACUGGUGGAAGCCACUUCACUCCAUCAGUGAUUCUUUCUUUCCAAAUGACAAUGUGUAAUGGGCCAGCCAUGUCUGAUUUCCUGCAGAUGACCAGUAUCCUCCCAUCCAGCCACAUAAACUUCAAGUGAUGUAUCCUAAUACUCUUCAAACUUCAAAGAUUGAUGGCAUUCAAAGAAUAGGUGGAAGGGCUACACAAUUUGGAUGAUCAGACAUGCCAUAUGUUUUCCAUGGCCAUUUCAAAAUGAAAAAGUGUUCUUUAGUUCUCUUGUCGCUGAUUGUUGUUUGAUGCAUAUCAUUCUCAUGUUGUGGACUGCGAAGCACACAUGCGGUCAGCUGGAACACUGCAAAGUCGUAUCAUUUCCCUACUCUUGUCUUGAUAUGUUGAAACAAUUUGUUAGGAGGUUCUCACAGAGUGUGAAGUCUUCCUGACCUGCAUCUGACCAACUGUUGACUUGGUGGCUCAUUCCAAGAGAACAAUUGCAUUGUCACUGUUCUCUUCGUGGACUGGUGAGAGCCUUCAAAUCAACCUAAUGAAACACCAACACCAUGUAAUAUUAUUAUAUCCUUAGCACAUGCUGCUGUCGCAGUUUCUACCUUUACAUGGUGUGUACGGCAGAAGUGAGGAGGGCCUCCCCAGAGCAGCCCGCGUGCUCCAGGUACCAUGCUCCAUGGUGCAGAGUGCACGCAAGUCAAAAAGGUUGCGGACACACCAACUCCACUGCUGCUUCAAAUGUGUUUCUGUUCCAAGACCUUUGAGACCACAGCCGAUGGCUCUUCUGGCUUCGUUUCUGUUUCUGCUACCCUAGUUUAAGAAUGAUUAACAUAGUACUGUAUGUUCAUGACUUGUUUCAUGCUAAUAUUUUUUGCAUUGUUCUAAGGUUUCUGGACUUGUUUUUGUUGCUGCUGCAGACUUUCUCUGAUCUCCUUGUUUCUCACUGAACAUAAUCACCGGAAUACAUGAUGAAGAAGAAGAAGAAGAAAAAGAAGAAGAACAAAAAAAAUGCAACACCAAAAGAAAGGAUCCUAAGUUGUUAACACUUUGCAUCAUAGUCACUUGUACCAAAAGCUGUGAAGCAAGCAAAGAGUGUUUGUGGUUGGUAGUGCUUUGGACUUGUAGCUUUUAUCGGUAAGCUUACUGCCUUUAGAUGGCCUGCUCCUUGUUCUGGUCUCCAUGUCUCUGUCAUCUCUUCCUAGUCUUCUCGGUUGCCUUUCCCAUCAGCAAGUGCAAAUUGUGAGAGUCACAUGGUUGCUGGUGUUUAGUCUUUGUAUGUCUUCCUCGGGGUGGCUUUUCUCAAAAGGGUUGAUGCUAGGCAACCUUUCUUUGUCUGUGAAACUUGUUGACUGAGAAAAGCCGAAGCAUUCAUCAUCUUUAUGCAAAAGUACAUUUCCAUUACUCCUCUUUCUUCAGUGGGUUAUGUCAUGCUUUUAUCCCACAGAACUACUUUCACCUAAACACUUUCUUGUGUUUGUCGUAGACUUAGCUUUAUGGAGCUGCAUCUUUUUACAGAAAAGCUUGUAUGCAUCUGCCCUGUCAUAAUAAUGCCACCGACGCAUCAUGAGCAUGCUUUGCUAACACAUUCCAGAAAGCUGUCUGAGAAGCAGAAUGAAGAGUUUGGUUUUGGUGAUCAGUGAUAAGUUACUCUAAUCCUUCUUUUAGCACAACACUACAGAAGAAGUUGUGGUGUGGAGAAUCUCUCAACUUCAGUUGAGAGGAGAAAACAUCUUCAGAGGAAGUCAGCUUUUCCUUGAUGAGAAUAGAGAGAAUGUGGAGCCAAGAAAUUAGCAAAGCCAGUAUCUGAUAUGCUUGUGAGCUGAUGCAAUGCCAUACAAAAGAUCAACUGUAACAAUCCAGGUAUGCACAUUCCUUCUCUCUUCCUCUAUCUAAUACUUCAAUUCAUGGUUCACUAGCUUAUCCACUAAUACUAAUCAUGUUCUUAGCUAACAACACAGUCACAUGAGCUGUUGAAAUCCCCACCU